rnacentral:lncRNA from 11 species
AGAUGCCCCACAAUGCAUUCUGGCUUUGGAGAUGGGUCCUUUCUAGUCUUUCUGAGUCUUUUUCAGGAGAGAUAAAGCAGGGUAUAGAAAUACUAAUAAUAGUCGUCUUUUUUUGGCUUGGAUGUAAGAAAUGCUGUGCUCUCUUUCAGUUUCCAAAAAGAAGUACUUUCUGGAGAUGCAGGAGCUCCCGACAGUAUCCUAUGGGAGGAACGAGCAUGUGACCAGAUGAAAAGACUUCCAUACAUGGGACUAAAGAGAAUCAAUUUCAAAAACAAGUUCCUCUCUUCAAUGUGCCUUCCACGUCCAACUCUCUGGGCAGCUUGGAGCCUGCUGUGGGCAUUAGCCAAGGCUCUGCUUUUGAUGCUGCUUUUGGCUAUUGUCUCCCAUUUCAUGUAUGGCUGGUUCUUCGGCCAUCCAUGCACACAGAUCACUUCAACUCCAUUAUUCUAUAUCAAGCCCAUAAAGCAGUUGCCCCCUUUAGUUUUAUAAUGGCUGUUAAACAACUGUCAUUCGGGUCCUUUAAUAAAGUGUAAUGGUAAGCAAAGUAAAC